rnacentral:rRNA from 1 species
GACGAACGCUGGCGGCGUGCUUAACACAUGCAAGUCGAACGGAAAGGCCCUGCUUUUGUGGGGUGCUCGAGUGGCGAACGGGUGAGUAACACGUGAGUAACCUGCCCUUGACUUUGGGAUAACUUCAGGAAACUGGGGCUAAUACCGGAUAGGAGCUCCUGCUGCAUGGUGGGGGUUGGAAAGUUUCGGCGGUUGGGGAUGGACUCGCGGCUUAUCAGCUUGUUGGUGGGGUAGUGGCUUACCAAGGCUUUGACGGGUAGCCGGCCUGAGAGGGUGACCGGGUGGCUGGGGGCUGGGGUGGGCGGCAUGCUCGGGGGGGGGGGUGGGGGGGGGAAUGGGGGACGACGGGCGGAAGCCGGAGGCAGCGGCGCGGGGUGGGGGUGGACGGCCGGCGGGUUGUACACGGGUGUCGCGGGCGACGGGGGGGGGGUGGGGGUGGGGGAAAAAGAAGAAGCGGGUAACUACGUGCCAGCGGUCGCGGUAAUACUCGGAAGAGAAGGAGUACAAAC